rnacentral:rRNA from 1 species
UUGGGCGCUAGAUGUGGGCCACAUUCCACGUGGUCCGUGUCGCAUCUAACGCAUUAAGCGCCCCGCCUGGGGAGUACGGCCGCAAGGCGAAAACUCAAAGGAAUUGACGGGGGCCCGCACAAGCGGCGGAGCAUGCGGAUUAAUUCGAUGCAACGCGAAGAACCUUACCAAGGCUUGACAUAUAGAGGCGACGUUCAGAAAUGUUCGCCCCAGCAAUGGUCUCUAUACAGUUGGUGCAUGGUUGUCGUCAGCUCGUGUCGUGAGAUGUUGGGUUAAGUCCCGCAACGAGCGCAACCCUCGUCCUAUGUUGCCAGCACGUAAUGGUGGGAACUCAUGGGAGACUGCCGGGGUCAACUCGGAGGAAGGUGGGGAUGACGUCAAAUCAUCAUGCCCCUUAUGUCUUGGGCUUCACGCAUGCUACAAUGGCCGGUACAGAGGGCUGCAAUACCGUAAGGUGGAGCGAAUCCCAAAAAGCCGGUCUCAGUUCGGAUUGAGGUCUGCAACUCGACCUCAUGAAGUCGGAGUCGCUAGUAAUCGCAGAUCAGCAACGCUGCGGUGAUACGUUCCCGGGCCUUGUACACACCGCCCGUCAAGUCACGAAAGUCGGUAACACCCGAAGCCGGUGGCCUAACCGUAAGGAAG